GGGAUCAUAGCUCAGUUGAGAGAGCAGUAGACUGAAGCAUUGGUUGUAAAAUACAUUCUAAAGGCCCCGCAUUCGAUCCGCGGUGGUCCCA